rnacentral:rRNA from 1 species
AUUGAACGCUGGCGGCAGGCUUAACACAUGCAAGUCGAGCGAGCGGCGGACGGGUGAGUAAUGUCUGGGAAACUGCCUGAUGGUGGGGGAUAACUACUGGAAACGGUAGCUAAUACCGCAUACCAUCAGAUGUGCCCAGAUGGGAUUAGCUAGGAGGUGGGGUAAUGGCUCACCUAGGCGACGAUCCCUAGCUGGUCUGAGAGGAUGACCGGCCACACGGGAACUGAGACACUGUCCGUGCGCCUACGGGAGGCAGCAGAGUGGAAUGUUGCACAAUGGGCGCAAGCCUGAUGCAGCCAUGGCACGUGUGUGAAGAAGGCCUUCGGGUUGUAAAGCACUUUCAGCGAGGAGGCGUUACUCGCAGAAGAAGCACCGGCUAACUCCGUGCCAGCAGCCGCGGUAAUUC